rnacentral:pre_miRNA from 1 species
UUGCUACUCCCUCCGUCCGAAAAUACUUGUCAUCAAAAUGGACAAAAAGGGAUGUAUCUAGAACUAAAAUACAUCUAGAUACACCCCCUUUUAUUUAUUUUGAUGACAAGUAUUUUCGGACGGAGGGAAUAUCAA